rnacentral:lncRNA from 1 species
ACGACAGACGAAACGUUUUCCUCACUUAAGAAAGACGGGUUGAUUAACUGAAAACGAAGGGACUUUUUUGCGAAACAGCCACGACGGACGACCAGAAACCGUAUUUGCUUUAUGAGACAUGAGAGAAUUUCAACGGAACGAUCCCGCCAUUUGUUUGGGUUUGGGUGGACAUAAAAGACGGCUCAACGCGUCGACCCAAACGGACGCGCG